rnacentral:rRNA from 1 species
CAGCCGCCGCGGGAAUACAGAGGAUGCAAGCGUUAUCCGGAAUGAUUGGGCGUAAAGUGUCUGUAGGUGGCUUUUCAAGUCCGCCGUCAAAUCCCAGGGCUCAACCCUGGACAGGUGGUGGAAACUACCAAGCUGGAGUAUGGUAGGGACAGAGGGAAUUUCCGGUGGAGCGGUGAAAUGCAUUGAGAUCGGAAAGAACACCAACGGCGAAAGCACUCUGCUGGGCCGACAUUGACACUGAGAGACGAAAGGUAGGGGAGCAAAUGGGAUUAGAUACCCCUGUAGUCCCUGUCUCUUAUAC